rnacentral:rRNA from 1 species
UACGAAGGGGGGCUAGCGUUGCUCGGAAUCACUGGGCGUAAAGCGCACGUAGGCGGACUCUUAAGUCGGGGGUGAAAGCCCAGGGCUCAACCCUGGAACUGCCUUCGAUACUGGGAGUCUUGAGUAUGGUAGAGGUUGGUGGAACUGCGAGUGUAGAGGUGAAAUUCGUAGAUAUUCGCAAGAACACCAGUGGCGAAGGCGGCCAACUGGACCAUUCUGACGCUGAGGUGCGAAAGCGUGGGGAGCAAACAGGG